rnacentral:rRNA from 1 species
GUGCGUAACGCGUAUGCAACCUACCUUUCACAGGGGGAUAGCCCGAAGAAAUUUGGAUUAAUACCCCAUAAUAUUAUUGGAUGGCAUCAUUUGAUAAUUAAAAUUACGAUGGUGAAAGAUGGGCAUGCGUCCUAUUAGCUAGUUGGAGUGGUAACGGCACCCCAAGGCUACGAUAGGUAGGGGUCCUGAGAGGGAGAUCCCCCACACUGGUACUGAGACAGGGACCAGACUCCUACGGGAGGCAGCAGUGAGGAAUAUUGGUCAAUGGUCGGAAGACUGAACCAGCCAUGCCGCGUGCAGGAAGAAUGCCUUAUGGGUUGUWAACUGCU